rnacentral:rRNA from 1 species
AUGGGGUGCGCGGCAUCCAAGGUGGAGCAGGAGGACACGGUGCGGCGCUGCAAGGAGCGCCGGCGCAACAUCAAGGACGCCGUCGCCGCGCGCCAGCUGCUCGCCUCGGCGCACGCCGACUACCUCCGCUCCCUCCGCGUCACGGCCGCCGCGCUCUCCCGCUUCGCGCAGGGCCACUCGUCGCUCACCGUCUCCCACCACACCGCGCCCGUCCUCCUCACCACCGCCGCGCCGCCGGCCCUGCACGCGCCCGCGCCCGCCGCCAUGUCCUCCGUCGCCUCGUUUUCGCUGCCGCCCCCCACGCCGCUCCCUCGCCACCAGCCGCCGCCGCCGCCGCCCCAGCAGCAGCAGCCGCAGCAGCCGCAGCCGCAGGCGGCCGCCGCUGCGCUCAGGGUCGACAUGGAUCCGAGGAUGCGGCGGCUCAAGGUGCCGCACAUCCUGUCGGACUCGAGCGUCGCGUCCUCGUUCCGGAAGCCACCGGUGGUGGGGACGCCCUCCUCCUCGUCGGCCUGGGACUGGGAGAACUUCUACCCGCCGUCGCCGCCCGACUCCGAGUUCUUCGACCGCCGCAAGACCGAUCUCGAGGAGGCAAACCGCCUCCGCGAGCUCGACGACGAGGCCAAGGCCCGGGGCUACCCCCAGCGCCGCCACGACCACCUCAAAGAAGAGGACGAGGUCGACGACAGCCAUGGAGAAGACGAGGAGGAGACGGAGAGGGAGGAUAUGCAUUGCGGCGGAUGGGAGGACGAGGAGGACCACUACGCGUCGACGACCACGUCGGAGACCAGAUCGGAGGAAGGCGAGGUGGGGAAUAGAUCCGAGUGCGGGUUCGCGGCCAGAUCGGAGUACGGCGGGACGGCGCCGUCCGAGUACGCCGCCGUGCCAAUGCAGCUGAGGAGGGCCGAGAGGUCAGAGGUCGGGGACUCCUUCUCCACGGUCACGGGGGCGACCGAGAUGCGGAUGGUGGUGCGCCACCGCACGCUCUCAGAGAUCGUCGCGGCCAUCGAGGAGUACUUCGUCAAGGCGGCCGACGCCGGCGACAGCGUGUCGGAGCUCCUGGAGGCCAGCCGCGCACAGCUCGACCGCAACUUCCAGCAACUCAAAAAGACGGUGUACCACUCCAACAGCGUGCUAUCAGCACUGGCUUCGACAUGGACUUCAAAGCCGCCAUUGGCUGUGCGCUACAAGUUGGACACCAAUUCACUGGAGAUGGGGUCAAUGGAAGGGAAGAGCCAUGGGUCAACACUGGAGCGGCUCUUGGCCUGGGAAAAGAAGCUAUAUGAGGAGGUCAAGGCUAGAGAGAGCGUUAAGAUUGAGCAUGAGAAGAAGCUUUCUACCCUGCAAAGCUUGGAAUACAGAGGGAGGGACAGUGCCAAGCUGGACAAGACCAAGGCCUCCAUAAACAAGCUGCAAUCACUGAUCGUUGUCACGUCACAAGCUGCCACUACCACAUCCUCGGCCAUCGUCAGCGUCCGCGACAAUGAGCUCGCGCCACAGCUUGUCGAGCUUUGUUUCGCGUUGCUGAGCAUGUGGAGGUCCAUGAACUACUUCCACGAGACACAGAAUGAGAUCGUUCAACAAGUGCGCGGUCUGGUGGACAACUCCAUGGCCGAGUCGACGUCCGACCUUCACAGACUUGCGACGCGUGAUCUCGAGGCCGCCGUCUCGGCAUGGCACUCCAACUUCAACCGGCUCAUCAAGUAUCAGCGUGAAUACAUCCGUUCUCUGUAUGGCUGGCUGAAGCUUACACUCUUCCAAGUGGACAGCAUUACCCCACAAGAGGCCCACGCGUCACUCAUCUCACGCGAGCUCACCACCUUCUGCGACGAGUGGAAGCAGGCAUUAGACCGGCUUCCUGAUGCGGUGGCUUCGGAGGCUAUCAAGAGCUUUGUGAACGUCAUCCAUGUCAUCUACACCAAGCAGGCAGAGGAGAUGAAGAUCAAGAAGCGAACCGAGACGUACUCAAAGGAGCUGGAGAAGAAGACCAACUCGCUGAGGGCCAUUGAGAAGAAGUACUACCAGUCGUACUCGUUGGUAGGCCUUGGCCUCCCUGGCAGCGGGCGCGACGGCAUUGAAGGGCACACGUUCGACGCGCGCGACCCUCUCUCCGAGAAGAAGACCGAGAUCGCGCAGUGCCGCCGGAAGGUGGAGGAUGAGAUAACGAGGCAUGCCAAGGCUGUGGAGGUGACAAGGUCCAUGACACUGAACAACAUCCAGACUGGCCUGCCAGGAAUGUUCCAAGCCAUAGCUGGUUUCUCGGGCACGGUCGUCGAGGCCCUCGACGUGGUCUGCCGGCGAGCUGGGUCGGUGCGGUAG